GGUAGAAAAGGUUAAAGAGAGUUCUUGUUGAAAUAAAAUUUAACAACAAACUAUUUUGAACAUAUGAGCAUGAUCCACAGACGGCUCUCUCCACACUGUUGCACUCAAAUAGUUUUGCAGGCUCUUGAUUUAUUCCUUCUCUUAAUAAAAGGUUUUCUGUGCAAACAGGGGAAAUGGUUAAAGUCGACAGGAAGAUUUAUGGUGCUAAAUACAAUGUAGUCCAGUGGAAAAACCUGUCUGAGGCGGGAAAAUACCUGUGGCUCAGGGGGAGGUUCACUUUCCAGUAAAACAAUAAUAUUAACAUACAGCCAAUGCUCCAAUGGAAUGGUUUGUUAGAUUGGCCCAGUCAAAACCCAGAUGUUAAAUCCAACUGACAAUCUGCGGCAAGGUUUGAAAAUCGCUGUCCACAAAAGCUGUAAAGUCAAUCUGACUGAAUAAAACAAAUGUCAUUCUCUGGAUGAUCAAAUUACCAACACAAAAAGAAACUAUUUUCAAUCCAUUUACACUGUGGAUUAUAGAGACACAGAAUUAAACGCAAACUGCAAAUGUCAACAUUAGAAUCCUAACACAGCUGAUAAACACAUUGCAUAGAAAAGCAAAUGAAGUUUGGAUUUCACUGUGAAAUGUGAAACACAAAGUGUUUUGGCUCUGUUGCUAUGCAGCUCAUUUAUAUAAUCGCUAAUUUAUAGAAUCUUUCCUGCAAUGUUGUGCUACUGGUUGCAGCAGAACUGCGGCUGUGUUUGAGACAUCGGCACAAUGGCUGCAUUAGUUUCACUUGGUAGUACCACAUUUUUACACCUCAAAAUAAAAUAAAGAUCAUGAACAUACCACAAAACCUACAGUGGCUUAUUUAUCAUUAAGCAUCCAAUUUUUGCUAUUUAAAGUUGCAAAAAUCAAAUUACAAUCUCUAAAGAUAAGAUGCAUAAAAAAAUACAGUACCUUAGUUUAUAAAAGCUUAUAAUAUUUAGACUUACAAAUUUUGCUUUGACUUUAUUUAAUUGAUUUAAACUGUGGCAGCUGUGGAAGCAAUACUGCCUUGCAACAAAAAGGUUCGAGGCUUGAAUCUAGAGUUUUCUACAUAGAGUUUGUAUGUUCUCCACUUGUGCAUGUGUGGGUUUUCUCCAGCUACUCUGGUUUCAAAAACAUGUCAAAAAACAUGACUGUUUGAAUAAUCGGUCUCUCUUAAUUUGCCUUAGAAGUGUGUAUUUGUGCAAGGUUGUUUUUUUUUUCUGUUGUUUUUUUUUUUACAUUCAUUUGAAUCUCCCAACAAAGAGAUUUUGAGUCGCUCAACUGAGAGAAGCAAAACCUGAAAUGUGUGCAUUGGGUACUUAAUCCCCCUGGAGACUAAUCAGCUGGAUUCAACAUUAAUUUACCACUCCUUUGAUUUGUGAUCCUUCAACUUAUCUUUCCAACAAUAAAUGUCAGCCCUAUAGCCUCAGUCGCUGGUGCUGUCGUUGCUCUACAUUGCCUUCAUUUCACUUGAAGUUACACGUAAACCAAAAACCUAAUAAUAAAAAGUUGGAUUGGAUGCAAAUG